rnacentral:rRNA from 1 species
UACGUAGGGUGCGAGCGUUAAUCGGAAUUACUGGGCGUAAAGCGUGCGCAGGCGGUUUUGUAAGACAGAGGUGAAAUCCCCGGGCUCAACCUGGGAACUGCCUUUGUGACUGCAAGGCUUGAGUGCGACAGAGGGGGAUGGAAUUCCGCGUGUAGCAGUGAAAUGCGUAGAUAUGCGGAGGAACACCGAUGGAGAAGGCAAUCCCCUGGGCCUGCACUGACGCUCAUGCACGAAAGCGUGGGGAGCAAACAGG